rnacentral:rRNA from 1 species
GACGAACGCUGGCGGCGUGCCUAAUACAUGCAAGUUGAGCGCUGAAGGUUGGUACUUGUACCAACUGGAUGAGCAGCGAGCGGGUGAGUAACGCGUGGGGAAUCUGCCUUUGAGCGGGGGACAACAUUUGGAAACGAAUGCUAAUACCGCAUAAAAACUUUAAACACAAGUUUUAAGUUUGAAAGAUGCAAUUGCAUCACUCAAAGAUGAUCCCGCGUUGUAUUAGCUAGUUGGUGAGGUAAAGGCUCACCAAGGCGAUGAUACAUAGCCGACCUGAGAGGGUGAUCGCCCACCUUGGGACUGAAACACGGCCCAACCUCCUACGGGAGGCAGCAGAAGGGAAUCUUCGGCAAUGGAGGAAAGUCUUACCGAGCAACGCCGCGGGGGAGAAAAAGGUGUUGGGAUCGUAAAACUCUGUUGGUGGAGAAAAACGUUGGUGGGAGGGGAAAGCUCGUCAGGUGACGGAAACGACCCAGAAAGGACCGGCAACCUCCGU